ACACGUUGUUAACCUGCCCUUAAGUCCGGGAUAAUCUCGGGAAACUGAGUCUAAUACCAGAUAGGCGAUAAUUCCUGGAACGGUUUAUCGCUCAAAGCUUCGGCGCUUAAGGAUGGGACUGCGGUAGAUUAGGUUGAUAUUAGGGUAAUGGCCUAAUAUGCCUAUAAUCUAUAGGGGCUGUGAGAGCAGUUACCCCCAGAUGGGUUCUGAGACACGAACCCAGGUCCUAAGGGACGCAGCAGGCGCGAAAACUCCGCAAUGCACGCAAGUGUGACGGGGGAACCUCAAGUGCCAGCACCACAAGUGUUGGCUUUUCAUGAGUUCAACCGGCUCGUGAAUAAGUGGUGGGCAAGACCGUUGCCAGCCGCCGCGGUAAUAACGGCGCCACAAGUGGUGAUCACGCGUAUUGGGUCUAAAGCAUCCGUAGCCUGACGGCCAAGUCAUUUGUGAAACUUCACAGAAAACUGUGAAAAUUGCAAGUGAAACUAGUCGUCUUGGGACCGGGAGGGGCUAGAGGUACUUCUAGGGUAGAGGUGGAAUUCUGUAAUCCUAGAGGGACCACCUGUGGCGAAGGCGUCUAGCUGGAACGGAUCCAACGGUGAGGAAUGAAAACUAGGGGAGCAAAGGGGAUUAGAUA
rnacentral:rRNA from 1 species